rnacentral:tRNA from 1 species
GCCGGAGUGGUCGAGUGGUUCAAGACGGCAGCCUGCAAAGCUGCUGCGCCUUGUGCGUAUCGCGGGUUCGAAUCCCGCCUCCGGCU